rnacentral:rRNA from 1 species
UACGGAGGGUGCUAGCGUUGUUCGGAAUCACUGGGCGUAAAGGGCGUGUAGGCGGUCUGUUAAGUCUGAUGUGAAAUCCCCUCGCUCAACGAGGGAACUGCGUCGGAUACUGGCAGACUCGAGUACCGGAGAGGAAGGUGGAAUUCCCGGUGUAGCGGUGAAAUGCGUAGAUAUCGGAAGGAACAUCAGUGGCGAAAGCGACUUCCUGGACCAGUACCGACGUUCAGGCACGAAAGCGUGGGGAGCAAACAGG